UACGUAGGUGGCAAGCGUUGUCCGGAUUUACUGGGCGUAAAGAGCGCGCAGGCGGUCGUGCAAGUCGCGUGUGAAAGCCCCCGGCUCAACUGGGGAGGGUCACGCGAUACUGCUCGACUCGAAGGCAGGAGAGGGAAGUGGAAUUCCACGUGUAGCGGUGAAAUGCGUAGAGAUGUGGAGGAACACCAGUGGCGAAGGCGGCUUUCUGGUCUGUAACUGACGCUGAGGCGCGAAAGCGUGGGGAGCAAACAGG
rnacentral:rRNA from 1 species